rnacentral:lncRNA from 1 species
AUGGACUAUCACAUCACACUGCUCUGUGUGCUUCAAUCAGAUCAUACCUCCUGGAUUAUUUUGAGGCAACACACAAUUUGUAUACAGUUUAUCAAAUGUCGUUUUCUAAAGAUUCCUCCCAAUGUCUUUUCAUUUCCUGCAAAUCGACUCCUCUGGAACAGUGAAUCUGAAAGCAUGCUAGAGCCCUUCUCCUUGAAAUUCCAGUGGAAUUGUUCAGUCAAAGACAAAAAGCAAGACAAUUUUGAAGAUGAAAAAUGAUAUGCAGGCCCAUGAGGACCAGGAAAUUUCCAUGAACUAAGGAAGAGAAAAAAAUUGUAGACUGCAAACAAUAUCACUGAUCUCUUACCUGAUCUACAGAUAUCUCACAGAUGAAAAAGAGCAAUACAAUUUCCACAGGCCUGACAAGGUUGCCAAGUCAACCUUCCACUUUCAGAAUCAUCCCUGGAGAAAGAAGCCGGUAGAAUGGAAUAAAUGUGGACUGAGAAUGAGAGUUCUAAGUUCA